rnacentral:rRNA from 1 species
UGAGGAAUAUUGCGCAAUGGAGGCAACUCUGACGCAGCCAUGCCGCGUGCAGGAAGAAGGCGCUACGCGUUGUAAACUGCUUUUAUCCGGGAAGAAACCCCCAUACGUGUAUGGGGUUGACGGUACCGGAGGAAUAAGCACCGGCUAACUUCGUGCCAGCAGCCGCGGUAAUACGAAGGGUGCAAGCGUUAUCCGGAUUCAUUGGGUUUAAAGGGUGCGUAGGCGGAGCGUUAAGUCAGUGGUGAAAUCCUGCAGCUCAACUGUAGACUUGCCAUUGAUACUGGCGUUCUUGAGUGCGCUUGAAGUAGGCGGAAUGUGCCGUGUAGCGGUGAAAUGCUUAGAUAUGGCACAGAACACCAAUUGCGAAGGCAGCCUACUAAGGCGAUACUGACGCUGAGGCACGAAAGCGUGGGGAUCGAACAGG